AGCUCCGGCAUCCCUGCAGCAGAGCAGGGCUGUGUGAGCCUCACGCUUAGCAGGAUCAGUGAAGGAGCUCCGGCAUCCCCGCAGCAGAGCAGGGCUGUGUGAGCCUCACGCUUAGCAGGAUCAGUGAGCGCAGGAGCCGCGCAGAUUAUGGGAUGUGUGUGCUAGGCAAUGCGGAGCGUUCCACCAGCCCCUCUCUGCCGUGCUGUGUGCGGUCUGUAAAAGAGAUGGCAGUUUCUGGGAUUUUAUUAAGAAGCUUUUUGUCUUCUUUCUAUUGUCUCUGUAAGCACCAGUGUGAAGCAUUCCAAUCUGUUUGCCAGCCUGGCAGUUUUAUGUUUCCUGAAUCUGCUGGGAAAAAGUGGGAAACCACAGAAACCCAGGAUUCCUCUGGCAUCACAUUGGUUUGUUCUUGUCAGCAUAUCUAAUCAUUCUUCUGCUAAAGAAUCGUGGAGUGAGGUGAUCUUAGCAAUGAUUUACGCUGCUUGGGGCUUUAUUGAUUUUUUUUUUUCUUUAGUGAGAACGUAAGAAAAGGAAUGAAGGAAGGAUGAUACGGUUUGUAAAGAAAAUAAUUCAGUGUACAUUUCAAGUGUAGUGGCUGUUAAAUAUGUAGACAUAUAUAUGAUACUUUAUGCAGUUAUAAAAACAAAAGGUCUCUUUGCCUCAGGGUAUGAUUUCUCUUACAGCAACAGGUAGCAAAGGCUCCUCUGCCCCCUUUUCUCCCCUUAUCGCCUCCUUUUCAGCUCCUCCUGAUAAAAUGCGGUUUAAAAGGUCAGCUGGUUAUGUAAAUAGUGUGCCUUUUCUAACAAAGACCUCUGCGCAUCAAGCCUGCAAUGACUGUCAAAUAGAUUUGGGAUUCAAGACAUUCAAUAAUGGUACUGUCCGUUUUCUAAGAGUGAUAAAAUCUCGCAGAAAACAAAGGACGGACGUGGGAUGGAUCAACAGCGCCGGGGCGCCCAUGGGCAGCAGCAGCGUCACGGCAGAAUUUGGCUUCUUCUCUCUAGUGAUGUCCUAGGCUGAACUUGCUUUGCAGCUCCUUCACACCAAAGGUAGCUUCAAUCAGCCAAGGAGGAUUUUGCAUCCAACCAACCUCACCCUCCUAAUGAAAGAGAUUGACUUCAUUAGUCUGUGGCUCAGACACCUCACAAGAAGGUGGAGUUUCUAUUUCAUAGCAUCCAGAGGUGCAGUGGACACAGUCUGGUCUUUAUUUCACUGUGCUCUUUCUCUCCCUGCCUCCUUUCACCUACAGAGCAGGACAACUUGGUUUCCUCAGGGAGUAUCAACUCUUCUGGCUCUUUUCCACUUUAAAUUUAAUAAGAAUAUGCUGAUGUUAUUAACUUCACAGAGUCAUAGAAUUAUGGAAUAGUUCAUUUGCAAAGGGACCUUAAAGAUGUUCUAAUUCCAUGCACUUUCCACAUCCCACUAGAACAGACCGCUCAGAAAUGAUUAUGUCCAUUGCCAAAAGGUUAAAAAAGUUACUUUGGAAUUACAACACAGAUCUUUCCCUGUGGUCAACUCCAAGACCUAAUUGCCACCACAGUUUGAUUUGAGCCCUUAAAAUCAUUCUGAAGUAGAGUUAAAGGGUUGUAAAGGAUUAUGAUGCCUUUUGUUUGUGGUGUUAAUAAUCUGUGGCAUUAAAAUAUGAUAUAAAAUCUCAUUUUAGGGCAGCGUACUGAAGUCACAAACAAUGGAACAAAUUGCACUUGAGUGAGGCAGGAACUUACAUCACCACCAAAAAUGCUAAAUCCAGAUUGGGACUCUGUCUGCAGCAGAAUCAUGUGAGGGAGGAGUGGCACAUGACUUAGAGUCAUUAGAGUCCUUUGUCCUGUAAAUCUGUAUUUAACAGCAGUGUAUAUCUGCGUUGGUAAACACCUUUUAACAGUUUAUCCCAUAACUUUUAUUUUUCCUACUUCAUAUGAUCAACCUUUUAAUCCUCUUUCUUCCAGAACCUGCUAAGUGCUUCUCUUUAACUACAGAAAAAUGUAAUUUAUUAAGGCAGUUCAGUAGUUAGUCUUACUUUGGAACAGGCAAAACUAUUAUGCAAACAACACUGUCACCUUCUUGCAGUGACUUCCUUCUCCAAGCUUUAAUGAAUUCCCUGCAUGCUACUCUGCUGUAAAUUCUCCAUCUAAAAAUUCCAUCCACUAUGUGAUGUGUCAGGGGAAACCACACUUGACUUUUGAAACAGUUGGGAGGAGCAGAAUGAUAACCUACUAAAGUGCCUUGCCCUUAACAGAAAUUAUGGCAAGCAAUUAAAGUUAGAGCAAAAAGACUUAAG